AUGCAAGACACUGAGGUUAUUUUCUCAGCUAAGAUUCAACUAGAAGUUUACUUUUCUCAUAGAAAAUAUUGUUCUUGGAAAAGUACAAUGUAUUCUUCACUGUGUUUGCAAGAAUGUACUCAGAUAAAGACCUCUAAAGAAUUUACCAACAGCAACUCCAUGCUAGACAUCAUGCCAGACACUGGGCUGCAAAGACGAGUCAGUAUUCACCUCUGACGGUAGGAACUUAUGGUCUAGCUGGUGGAGACCCACGUAGGAGGGCAAAGAACAUUUCCAUAUUUGGGAGGACUGCAUAGGGCACAAGUGGACUCAGAGGAGAGUGGUUAAUUCUGUGCAUUACAGGAGUGAGGACAUGAGGAAGGGUUUCAGGAAAGUGCUGGUGCUUGAGCGAAUCAUCAGAAGUGUCCCUGUUUGAACUUGUGUUUGUUUGUUUGUUUUAAUUUUAUUUAUUUACUCAUGAGAGACACAGAGAGGCAGAGACAUAGGCAGAAGGAGAAGCAGGCUCCCUGCGGGGAUCCUGAUGUGGGACUCGAUCCCAGAACCCUGGGAUCAUGACCUGAACCAAAGGCAGAUGCUCGACCACUGAGCGACCCAGGCGUUUUAAGAUUGAAUUCGUGUCAAAUGACAGCGAAAUGGUGAGAAUAAAAGCACAGCAGCAAGCA
rnacentral:lncRNA from 12 species